GGGAAUGUGGCUCAGUGGUAGAGCACUUGCCUUGCAAGCCAGAGGCCCUUGGGUUCGAUUCCUCAGCACCA
rfam:Dipodomys ordii contig_62053, whole genome shotgun sequence.